ACACACACACACACACAUACACGGGGAAGAGGGGUUGUGAACGGCCUUACACACACAAAGAGGAGUCGUGUGUGUGUGUGUGUGAGAGAGAGAGAGAGAGAGAGAGAGAACAGCCUUCCACACACAGGGAGACACACACAUGGAGGGAGAGAGGUUGUGAACAGCUUUCCAUACAUACACACGCAGAGGGAGUCAUACACCACACACACACACACACACGGAGAAGAGGGAUUGUGAACAGCCUUACACACAUACACAGAGGAGUUGUGUGUUUGUGUGUGAACAGCCUCCCACACAUAGGGAGACACACACCCACACACACAUGAGGGAGAGAGGUUGUGAACAGCCUUCGGUACAUACACACACAAAGAGGGAGACAUCCAGACUACACACACACACACACGGGAGGGGGGAGAGGUUGUGAACUGUCUUACACGCACAUAGAGGAGUUGUGUGUAUGUGUAUGAGAACAGCCUUCCACACACAGAGAGACAUACACAAACACCACACACACAUAUUGGAGGAGAGAAGUUGUGAACAGCCUUCCAUACAUAUAGACACAGAGAGGGAGACAUCCAUACACGGGGGGAGGGGUUGUGAACACCUUACACACACACACAGGAGUUGUGUGUGCGUGCAUGAACAGCUUCUCACAGGGAGACAACCAUCCACACACCCCACACACACGGGGGAGAGACGUGAGUUGCCUUUCAUACAUACAUACACACACAGAGAGAGACAUACACCACACACACACACACAUGGGAGUAGAGGGGUUAUGAACAGCCUUCCAUAAGGACAGAGAGAGGAGCUGUGUGUGUGUUUUCUCCCAGGGGCGAAAAGGAGAAACAAAGGAGUUUCUCAUGCUGGGGGUGAUUUUGGCAUUAAAGAGAGAUUAAAGCUCAUUUAAAGCAUCCUACAAACGAAGUGGACAUGAGGCUGAGAAUGGGGACAGAAACAAACUGGAAAUUGGAAAGACAAGCCAUAGCUUCGUCAUCUGCUGUACUAUUUGUGCCUUACCCAACCAUCAGGUUUUCCACAUUCACGGAAAAGACAAUGGUGCUCAAUGAAGUGAAAGGCAGCAGGAAAAGAGGAAGACUAUAUUAUGGAUGGAUAGAUGACAGGGUGCUUUGGAGUUUCCUCACUAAGAAUGUUGCCAAUGCCAUGUUGAUGCUGACUUGACAGCAAAUAACAAUAGGAUUUCCACUCUUUUAUUUCUACACUUUCCCCAACAUAAUUCAGAGAAUGUGUUUUAUGUUUUCUCAACACAAAGAAGUAUAACAUGCUGUUAGAAUAAGGCCAAGCUCCACACAUAUAAGCAGCUAUAAGAAAUUUAACUGCAAAUGUGAGCUAUCUUUUUGACCCAAAUAUAUUAUAAUCAUAAUUGGAGAGCCAGUAUGGUGUAGUGGUUUAAGUGCUGGACUAUGAUUCUGGA